rnacentral:tRNA from 1 species
AGUUAAUGAACUUGUUAAAGUUUGUAUUUUGAAAAUACACCAAAGGGUAAUUCCCCUAUUAACUU